rnacentral:tRNA from 1 species
GUAGUAGAGGUGGGAUCACGUCAUUGUUUCAGGAUGAAGAGGUAAGGAUA